GAAUAUUUCUCUUCAGCUCUGUGUAAACACCUAAAGAGAGACCCCAGAACAUUUCCCUUCAGUUUUGUGUAAAUACCUAAACAGAUCCCACAACAUUUCCCUCUAGCUCUGGGUAAAUACCUAAAGAGACCCUACAACAUUUCCCUUCAGCUCUCUGUAAAUACUUCAGGGACAAAAAGCAAAAAAAUAUCUAAAAACACAGAACCCUCUGGUGUGAAACUUCAUAUGAAGUUCUAUAAACACAGAGCAAGACAGUUCCCAGUCUUUCAGGCAGGUGGAAGGGAUCAGUAAUUAAUUAAAUCAUUAAGUUUGGGUGAAAGCAAUUCAGUGCUGCUGCCCUGCCCUAUUUAAGCCCAGGUGCUCCUUCCCAAGCUCUGCUGGGAACUUCUUGGAGAAAUUUCCUUUGCAAGUGGCCUAGGAGUGGUGUGAGCCUGGAAUGAGGAUCUGUGUCUGCUCCUGAAGGCUCUGUUGGUGCCCAAACCCCUUGGACUCCCAGGAGAAGGCUGUGAGCAGGGUUUUUGUGAGCAGGAUUUGCUCUGCACACCUCGGCCAUGGGGAAUGAGCUUAGUCACAGGAGGUACUGCAGGAGGUUCAGGAGGUUUGAAAGGCUGCCAGCUGAGGAGGGAACAGCUGUCCCUGAUGUCCCCGAUGACCCCAGGACCCAGCCAGCCCCGGGUGAAGGGUUUGUGAGCCACCCUGAGAAGGAGGAGCCCCAGGGAGCUGCUGCAGGACUGCAGGGCACAGAGCAAGGAAGGAAAAGGGAAACGGCCUCGUGUUCUCCACCUGUGAAUGCCCAGGGAAUGCUGAGCAGCUCAGAGCUGCAGGAGGCUGGGGACAAUCCCCCUGCUAUAAAUGCAGGUGGAAAAACUCCUGCUCCAAGUCCGGGAAGAGCUGAGCCAGCUGGAGGGCACACAGAGGUGACAACAGGGGACUUCCCUCUGCAGCCUGCAGUGGAGGUGGGAGAGGAGGAGAGCAAGCAGGGCACAGUGAAAAGCAGCUCAGGGUCGCACAAGAGACCCAGCACCAGGCAGUGCAGGGCCAGCCCUCUCUGCAGGUGGCUGAAGAACCUCAGGAGCCCAGCAGAAAAACCUAAAGCCAAGCCUGGAGCAGCCAGCAGCCAAGAGUGAGGCUCCUGUGGGCUGGAAAAGGAUCAAGUGCCCAAUGUGAUACCUGCAGAAAAGAAAAAAGACUGGUAAAUAUACACAUAUACAAUAAGAGGAAGUUAUUUUUGUCAUCUUGAAACUGCUUGUCUGCUGGAUACUCCUGGCUGUCCUGGAGCACAGAAACAUUCCCUCUGGAAGGGUGGAGCAGGGAAAUGAAGUGGCUCUGUUCCCUCAGCCAGCAGCUUGUGAGGAUUGUCUGGCUCUGCUCUCACUGGGGACUGGUCUGAAAGCUCCUUUUUGAAACCCUGAAAGGUGCAGCUUUGGAUCUUCCUGGUGCUUCUGUCAUUAUUUGAUUUUCUUUCCCUGUUGGUAAUAACUUGUUCUGCUUAAUGGCCCAAGAGAAGGAUGAGUUGCAUCAGUGUUAUCACCUAAAUUAAUUGAUUAUAAAAUGUAGCUGCUUACAAAUGCACAAUGGUGGUGGUGGGUGCUGUGGGGGAGGCUUCGUGAACCAGGGGCUCCAGUUUUGCUGCUGGAAGUGUUUGCUUUUUGUACUUUUGGAUCUGGAAAUCAAUAAAAGCCACUUUCACUGCCUCCAA